rnacentral:rRNA from 1 species
GACGAACGCUGGCGGCAUGCUUAACACAUGCAAGUCGAACGGAAACGCCCUGCUUUUGUGCGGUGCUCGAGUGGCGAACGGGGGAGUAACACGUGAGUAACCUGCCCUACACUUUGGGAUAACUUCAGGAAACUGGGGCUAAUACCGGAUAGGAGCUCCCGCUCCAUGGUAGGGGUUGGAAAGUUUCGGCGGGUGGGGAUGGACUCGCGGCUUAUCAGCUUGUUGGUGGGGUAGUGGCUUACCAAGGCUUUGACCGGUAGCCGGCCUGAGAGGGUGACCGGCCACAUUAGGACUGAGAUACGGCGCAGACUCGUAUGGGAGGCAGCAGUGGGGAAUAUUGCACAGUGGGAGGAAGUCUGAUGCAGCAACGCCGCGUGCGGGAAGACGGCCUGCGGGUAGUAAACCGCAUUCGCUUGAGACGAAGCGUUAGUGACGGUACUGGGUGAAGAAGCACCGGCUAACUACGUG